UGCGAUGAGUCGAGAAGAGUCAGACAGAGUUUCUCUGUUGUGCUGCGGCACGUUGACUAAUUUCGAAGCGGGACACAUUUAUCUGCCGGAUUGCAGAGUGUGAAUUGAUCUCUAAUGUGGA
rnacentral:ncRNA from 1 species